UGGACAGAAUAUUUAGCUUUUGAAAUACUUGGUUUAUUCAGUUUUAUAUUAGUUCAACUAUUCAAAUUGCCCUUAACAACAAAAAGAGCUUAAUAACAACCAUUUCAAUAGCUAAAUAUCUGUCCAACCUAUGUAGACGCCACUUACUUUAAAUAUAUAUUUAAAAAUACCCCAAUAGAAUUGCGUUUUAGGGAUAUUUCCUACAAAACAGGCACUUUGUCUCAUUUGACAUUUUACAUGAAAGGUUUGUCCAAGACCUCCUGACAGCAAACUGAUUCUUUCCCAUAAAACAUACCCAUGAGAGUAUCCAUCUCCUCUGUAAACGCAACUCAGCAUUCUAGCCUUAAAACACAUCAUCCAUUUCAAUUCAAGUUCUCUUACACAAUGCCACAUACAACAAAACGUUUUUUUUUUUGUUUGUUUUAAAUUAAAGCAUUCACUCAUAAGGUACGGUUUGCAUUGUAUAAUGAAAGUCUACAACAGAGCCGCCAAUAAUUGGCUUAUUGCACUAAAAGGCUUAUGGGACAGUGUUUGUCAUAGUUCACAGGGCUAAAACGCGAAAUAAAGAAACUGAUAAGUUAAACAGAUCAUUUCCAGAUGCGCUAUUGACAAAUGCAAGUUAAAAGCAACAUUAUAAAUAAGCUCCGAGAUCAUAAGUCAGAAUGAAAUGUCUAACAGCUGUAAAGUUAAUAUUAAUGGAUGACAUAGGCCUCUGAGUAGCCUUGGGUGGAAUUAUAUGUGCACACACAUCAAAUGUGUUAUGGUCACGCUCCGACUGAUUUGAACGCUUGCGUUGUAAGUGCACUCAAAAUGAAUGAGGCACAGAGACAGUUGACUAUGUGGAAACUUUUUGCCAACCUUUGAGUUUCAAAGUUCAUCUUUUGUUAAUUCUGCAGUCCUUAGCUAAUCUGUCACCUCUGCUUAAUGAGCGAGCCGAAGAGAAAGCCACCAGGAACAGCAAAGAAGCAAUAGUUCAAUGGUAGGUGCAAUAUUUUCCAGACAGCACAUGGACUAGAAAGUUAGUGCAUCACAGAGGUAUAUAGAAUCAUUUGAAAGACUGUGAAAUUGGAAGAAAAGAGGUGCCUCCAAUGUUCAAAAAGCAGAAUAAGACAUGGACACAUGGAAAAUGAGAUGUAAAAGAACAAAUAUGGAUUUCCGACUGGUUGGAAUGAAAUGGAAUGAUAUUUCAAUUGUCUUUUUUGCAGAUGCUAGAUAAGAUUUUGCUGGAAAAGCAUGAUUUACUAACAAAAUAUCAAGAAUGGUUUCAGAUUAGCGCAGCAAAUGUCCAGAGCAGUGAUCCUCGAAUCUGGCUCGCGAGAUCCACUUUCCUGCAGAGUUUAGCUCCAACCCUAAUCAAACAAA